GACGGGACCCGCACAAGCGGUGGAUGAUGUGGUUUAAUUCGAUGCAACGCGAAAACCUUACCCACCUUUGACAUGGCAGGAAUCCUGAAGAGAUUUGGGAGUGCUCGAAAGAGAACCUGCACACAGGUGCUGCAUGGCUGUCGUCAGCUCGUGUCGUGAGAUGUUGGGUUAAGUCCCGCAACGAGCGCAACCCUUGCCAUUAGUUGCUACGAAAGGGCACUCUAAUGGGACUGCCGGUGACAAACCGGAGGAAGGCGGGGAUGACGUCAAGUCCUCAUGGCCCUUAUAGGUGGGGCUACACACGUCAUACAAUGGCCGGUACAGAGGGUAGCCAACCCGCGAGGGGGUAGCCAAUCCCACAAAGCCGGUCGUAGUCCGGAUCGCAGUCUGCAACUCGACUGCGUGAAGUCGGAAUCGCUAGUAAUCGUGAAUCAGAAUGUCACGGUGAAUACGUUCCCGGGCCUU
rnacentral:rRNA from 1 species